CUUGGUGAUUGGAGCGACGGUGGUACACCCGGUAACAUACCGAACCCGGUAGUUAAGGCCGUCAGCGCCGAUGGUACUUGGGGGGCAGCCCCCUGGGAGAGUAGGUCGUUGCCAAGA
rnacentral:rRNA from 1 species